AAAGUCAAAUAAUUGUCACUGAACAAGGAGGAAGAUGAGCUGGGAGUAUUUUAGGUAACAGUGGCACCUCAUCCAUUACAGCUUCCAGGGGCUGAAACUGAAAGCACACUAGAAAGAGGGAGCAUGAGGCUUGCCCUGCUUAUUGAACAAGGCCACCUAGGGAGCUCUCUACCCAGGUUAGUUACCCUACCCAGGUAAACAUAAGCUUCUGCAUCCAUGGCCCAAAGAACUCAGAAUGGAAUCCAAUGGUAUCCACAUGGUGUUGAAUACUAAGGUAAGACGAAUACAGGAGUUUGGGAAUCGUGGGAGCUUGUUCCCGGAUUUGUGAGGAAGGUCUAGGAAGCCAGGGAGUGUGUGGCAGGGUUGGACUUCCUUUGGAGAGACAAAGGUACUGCCAGGACAGUGUGUGAGCUUUUGACAAUGAGGCUUGAAUUAUGCUGGCUAUCAGGAUAUUGGAGAGGUCAGCAAAGUGGAACAUGUGCUGAGACAAUAGACAGGCAAGGAAUGGAGCUGGCCUAAAGAGAGGGACCUUGUGUGCUAGAGGUGGCAAGACCACAGAGGCAGGGCUGCACAAGCCCACUCAGAUUCAGCUGGUGCUGCUGUGUAUCCCAGAUGCUGGACACAGAACUCCAGGCGUUGUUGGUUGUCCUGCUCAUUACUAUCUUGACUUUUUUCUAAUUUUCUCUUGCUAUCUUCUUGUUCUUUCCUUUUGGAAUGGGAACAUUUACUCUUUGCCACUGACUAAGGGAAGAAUAUAACUCUGAUUUAUAUUUUACAGGGACUCACAGUUUGCCAGUCUCAGAACAGACUUUCAACUUUGGACUCUUGAAGAGUGUUGGAACUGUUAAGACCAUGGGGAUUUUUGAAGUCUGGUUAAAUGCAGAUACUGACAGAAGCCCGAGGAUACUUUCUUGCUCAUUUGGAGCACCGCCCCUCACCCCAGCCACCUUCCAACAAGCUGCUGCCUGCUCACCUCCAUUGCAGAAGGCGUGACUUUCUCUCUCCUCCUUGAGCUCCCUAUUCUGGGCAGUUGUGAAGGAGAUUUACAGACUGCUAACUUUAUUUGUCUCCUAAAUUCUAAUAAUAUUGUCCUUGAGUUCUCCAGGUCAGUUUCUAAAUUCCCUUGUUAACAAGGCUGUGAACACAUGAAAGGGAACUCUGACUUUCCUCACAACCUAUGGUAACUACAAAGAACUACUAAAGAAAUUCCUCAGAGGCUAUGGGAAGGACCAUAUCCAGGGCCUUAGACCUAUCAGCCACAGAAGAUGAAAAUGAGGUCCAGAAAGAAGUUUGGUGUCCCUGGUUACCACGGGUGGUAUGACAUAUGGAAUCCGUUCUUUUGGAUUGGGGCCAUGAACUUUCUUACUGCUUUCUGUCUCCUUGUUUGGUUAUUUUGUGCCUGCAUACCUCUGACCAUUUUGCCUGGCCAUACAUGUAACAUCUCCUAAAUCAGCUGCCCAUUUUCUUACAAAGGAAUGACUGUAUUCAUUUUAUCUAUGAGGUGCAUGGAUCCCAUGGGGACUUAUGCCCUGAUGGUAGCUAGGACCAUGUUACCUAGUAGUUGCCAUUUCCUGCGACAGAAAAAUAUGUAACUAGCCAAAAUGACAAGAAGCACAUGACUAGCCAAAAUGGGAACCCUGGUACCACUAACCAAGAUGUGGCUGAUGACAUCACUAGCCAAGAUAGAAGCCAUGAUGUGACUAGCCAAAAUGGCUAUGCUCACUCUGGUGAUCUGAGUGAGAUAUGUCCUCCAUAGGUUCAUGUGUUUCAACAUUUGGUCUUCAGGUAGUGGCACUGAUUGGGAAGGUUAUGGGACUUUUAGGAUGUGGAGCCUUGCUUGAGGAAGUAUGUGAACAGGGGCAGGACUCUUGGUUUUCUAGCCUGGCCCCACUUCCUUUCUUUCUGUCUGCUUCUUGUAAGAUAGAAUGUGAUCUCCCUGCUCCCUGGCUUUCAGAAUAUUCCCCUGAUCCUGCUGCCAUGUCUUUGCUGCCAUGGUGGGUUUCAUCUCUUUGGAACUGUAAGCCAAAAUAAAUUCUUUUCUCCUCGAAGCUGCUUCUUAUUAGGACAUUUUAACACAUUAAAACAAAAGGAACUAGUAUACUCACACGACUGCCUAAGUUUCCUGAUGCUGCUGAAUUCCCAGAUUCUCACUAUAGCCCUAGAUCUUACUGUGACAUUAGCCUUCAUUCAUACAUCCCAGUCAUUUCCUGAUUUUUCCUUUAUUUCUCUUUGCACUCUGAGACACCUACCGGGAUUACAGAAACAGGAAAGCUAGACUGAGUGAUGCCCUGUUUCUCUGCCUAAAGGGUAAACUCUCUCUGAAAAAUAAAGGAUUCAUAUCAAGCUAAAACAAUGGUUCUUUCUUUUCUCAGGAUUACUGUAUUCAACUACUUUCAGUUCUUUGCUCUUCAUUUUCCUGUAGACAACUAUGUCUCAUUAGACACAGAGAUGAUUCAUGGUAUAAGACAUUCUCUUAAGUGUUAGACCUUAAGAAAACGAUACAUCCCUUGAUAGGUUUCCCAAGAUUCAGUGAUUGGUUGGUCCUAUGCCCAUUCAUAAACGGCCAACACUGACUGGCCUUGGUGUUUUGUUUUGUUUUUUUUAAGAAAUGUAUAUGAUUUUGAAAGGGAAAAGGAAUGGGGCAGUAUAGGAGGAAUUGGAAGGGAAGGUAUGGGGAUAGAUUUGAAAUCAUAUUAUAUGCGUGUAUGAAAUUCUCAAACAAUACAAUUUCAAAAAACAGUUGCUGUAAGUCUGAAUUUGAGAAUCUAAAGAAAAAGAGGCUAAUAUUUUAUUUGAAUAUUAGUUGGCUUUACUACAAGCUAGGAGAGGAAAAAUUUUGGUUAAAACAAAAAUUUUAAACUCUAAUACAUGGGGACCUAUUUUAUAACCAUCAAGAGAAAUGACCUAAAGUGCCUAUGUACAGUCCUUCAUGGCUGUCUACUGGGAUAGAUGAAUAUAAAAAAAAGUACAGAGGACUCUAAACCCUAUAGGACACACCAGGAAUCACAAUUCCUUGUACCCCUUGUCUACAGCGCUCUCCCAAAGAAAAAUGCCUCAACCCUCAGAAACAAUUAGUGUCCAUGUUCUUUUUCAACCAUAGAUCCUAAUAGAUAGAUAGAUGAUAGAUGAUAGAUAGAUAGAUAG